GGCGGUUUGGCCGAGUGGUCUAAGGCGAUUGAGUACGUUUCUCUUCAAUACUUGCGUCCACCAAAACAUCCACUAACAAUCUCCACAGCUAGAAAUCAAUUCCGUUCGCGGGCGCAUGUUCGAAUCAUGCAGCCGUCG
rnacentral:tRNA from 1 species